rnacentral:rRNA from 1 species
AACGUAGGAGACAAACGUUAUCCGGAGUUACUGGGCGUAAAGGGCGUGUAGGUGGUUUCGUAAGUCUGGCGUGAAAUAUCUCGGCUUAACCGAGGCAGGUCGUCGGAUACUGCGGGACUAGAGGACGGUAGAGGCGUGUGGAAUUCCUGGUGUAGCGGUGGAAUGCGCAGAUAUCAGGAGGAACACCAAUAGCGAAGGCAGCUCGCUGGGACGGUAUUGACGCUAAGGCGCGAAAGCGUGGGGAGCAAACAGG